GAUGAACGCUGGCGGCGUGCCUAAUACAUGCAAGUCGAGCGAACAGACGAGGAGCUUGCUCCUCUGACGUUAGCGGCGGACGGGUGAGUAACACGUGGAUACCCUACCUAUAAGACUGGGAUAACUUCGGGAAGCCGGAGCUAAUACCGGAUAAUAUCUUCAACCGCAUGGUUGAAUAGUUAAAGACGGUUUUGCUGUCACUUAUAGAUGGCUCCGCGCCGCAUUAGCUAUUUGGUAAGGUAACGGCUUACCAGGGCGAUGAUGCGUAGCCGACCGGUGAGGGGGUAGGGCGCCAGGGGAGCGGAGCGACGGUCCAGAGUCCUACGGGAGGCAGCAGUAGGGAAGCGACGGAAAUGGGCGAAAGCCUGAAGGAGGAACGGCGCGUGAGUGAUGAAGGUCUUCGGAUCGGAAAACGCUGUUAUGAGGGAAGAACAAAUGUGUAAGGAACUAUGCACGUCGUGACGGUACCUAAUCAGAAAGCCACGGCUAACUACGUG
rnacentral:rRNA from 1 species